ACAUCACAGAACAGGCAGAGGCAGUUCAGGGGUAUUCUGGUUGCCUUACCCAGCUCUGAAGUCUGUCAGCCUCUUCAGAUGUCACUUGCCAUGUGGUAAGGAAGUGUAGUCAGCAGCUGGUGCAGUGGGAAGAAGAGAAAGGAAGUUCCCCAAGACAAAAACAUCUCGGCAGACCGUGAUCAUGGGCUACAUUCUCCGUACCAGCUUCAUAGCUCCAGUGAGAAAAUAAAUUCCUGCAUCCAGGAGAUGUGGAGUAAGAGAUACAGCUGCCCUUGACCAUAUUUCUUACUUCCGAGAAGAUCGUAGCAGUAAUUCAGUACAGUCUUCAGGGAACACCAAGGCCUGUUUGAUUUUCCAAGUAUCAACAAGUGGAGUUGACAAGAGUGACAAGUGGUCAGAGCAAAGCAUUUCAUGAUGACUGUAACGUGCCUGUGUCAGCAGCGACUGCUUACAGUGAGAUUCACAUGACCAUCGUUUAUGACAUAGGAAGAAUAAAAGGAGAGAGAGAGAGAAAGAUAGGUAGUUGAUCAAAAUGAAGAAUUGGAUUUGGAAAGCAACUUCGAAUAGUCUCUGCUUAUAUUUCUGAGAUUAAGGCAAACAGUCUCAAGAAUCUCAUCCAGGAUACCUCAUCACAGGCUGGAGUGCAGUGUCAUGAGCUUGGCUCACUACAGCCUCCAUCUUCUGUGCUUAAGGAUCCUUCCCUCUCAACCUCCAAGGUAGCUGAGACUACAGGCAACAUUCGAAACCCAGGUGCCACUCCUUCAGGAAGGUACCAUCAAGCUCCAAGGACUCAUCCUCUUUCUCCUUCCCCACUACCUAGUCAUUAGAGCGUCAGCAUCCACUUCCUGAAAGGAAGAUGCCUGUUUUUCACAUAUCCCAGAAAGCCUCAUUUUAGGACAGCAUUUAGCAGAGUGUAUUCAGGAUCCCACUAACCUUUUCGGAAGACAUGACUUCCAGAUGAUAUAAGGCAAGAAUAAGAAAUUUCAGUGACAGGGAACAGAAAUCAUAUUUCUGCAUUCAGGAUCAUGUUUUCUUGGCUCCAUCAGGAACUGUGCAGGACUGUGCACUCUGUUGAUACUCACAUGGUGGAAUUAUAUUGCCCUUGGCCAACCCUAAAGCCAUCAAGAUAGCAGGUUUGGAAUAAUUCACUGUCGAAGUCUUCUUGAGCUGAGCAGUCAUGUGAGCUUGGAAGAUGAUCCCUCUCCAGCUGAUCCUUCAGCUCAGGCCAUCAUCUACAUCUGGAUUCCUGACCCGGAGAAACUAUGAGUAAUGUGUGCUGCUUUUGAGCCACUAAGCUACAUGAAUUAAUGAAGGAUCAUUAUUAAGUUUUUAAUGGGUCAAGAGAAAGUUACCACUGAGGUCUUCUCUACCUGGGCAACAAUUGACUCCUAACAACCACUAUAAGCUUGGAAGAUGAUCCCUCCCCAGCUGAUCCUUCAGACUUCCAGUUGGUCGAAUGCAUGGAUGUGGAACCUGUAGAUAUGAAGGACCAACUGUACCACAAACUGUAUGGUAUAACCAACAUAAAUUGAUUCUUUUACAAUUCUGGAGGAUAAAAGUCUGAAAAUCAAUA
ensembl:lncRNA PWRN1 Prader-Willi region non-protein coding RNA 1